rnacentral:lncRNA from 1 species
AGUCCCACUUAGGGAGAGAGUCUGGGGCUGGAUGAAUGAUGGUCUUGGCAGGUGUCUCUCCUCUGAUGCAGCAGGACAAGCAUCAGCCCUGUCUGAGAUGGGAAGCCUGCCCACCCUUUCUGCUCCUAGCACUCCUGGAUCACAUUUCCUGGGAACAGGCCAAGAGCUUCCUGAAGACAGAACUACUUUGGUUUAUUUCUGUAUUUAAAAAAAAGUAAAAUCAAUAAAACAAAAACAAAAAGAACGUUACUCAGGGAUUUACAUGCAUCAGGAAUGUAGUUCAUUCUUCCUAAAUUCAUGAGUUUAUGGACAUGGUAUUCCUUUUAGCCCCUACUUUUUGGAUGAAGAAAGAUGUAUUUGUGGGAUUAUUUCUACAAGGGAUUCUCAGUUUGCAAGUUGACCAGAGCAUGUCGCUCUGUCCAUUCUCUCUAUUCUUGCUAGGAUUAGUGAGAAUAAAGAAAAACUAGUGGGGGCGGGGAUUUAUAUGCUCAAUGAAUUUAUAAAGAGACUACCUGUAAAACACCAUCACUUACCUGGGUGUGGCGAAGC